rnacentral:miRNA from 12 species
CGACAGCAUGAUACUGCCUUCA